UACAGAGGUCUCAAGCGUUGUUCGGAUUCAUUGGGCGUAAAGGGUGCGUAGGCGGCGCGGUAAGUCGGGUGUGAAAUCUCGGGGCUUAACUCCGAAACUGCAUUCGAUACUGCCGUGCUUGAGGACUGGAGAGGAGACUGGAAUUUACGGUGUAGCGGUGAAAUGCGUAGAUAUCAGGAGGUACACCGGUGGCGAAGGCGGGUCUCUGGGCCGAUAUUGACGCUGAGGAGCGAAAGCGUGGGGAGCGAACAGG
rnacentral:rRNA from 1 species